AUAAGCUUUCAUUCAGAGCUAAGUAAAUUGCAUAAGAAAUCUGACCCCAAAAUUCCAAGACUAUGGAUGGCGAUGGAAACAUUACCACUUGAAUUGGUUAGGGCAAAGUAAGAAGAUUUUAUUGUAUAGUUUCUGAAAAUAUGAAUUGAUUUCAAUUUGUGAAUAGAUAUCGAACAUGGCUUUACUCCAGCAACAUUUUGGAUAUUUGGUUAUUUCAAGUUUGAUGUGAUGUAUUUCAAAAUUUACGCUUGCAAGAUUUCAUUGUGUUACAGAAGCAUUGCAUUGAAAUAAAUUUUCAUCUCUCAACAGAAAGAAACUAAA